AAAGUACUCCCUCCGUCCCGAAAUUCUUGUCUUAGAUUUGUCUAGAUACGGAUGUAUCAAGUCACAUUUUAGUAUUAGAUACAUCCGUAUCUAGACAAAUCUAAGACAAAAUUUUUGGGACAGAGGGAGUAGUUG
rnacentral:pre_miRNA from 1 species